GCCUGCGGAGCCCGCCCCUGACGUCACAGAGGAAUGCGCCGCUUCGGGAUUGGGCGGGCUGGCCUGUCAAUCAAGCGCGGCGCUGAGUGUGCCGUGAGCUGAGACUGCGCGGCGGCGCUCAGACAGGAGACGGACACCCCCCAGUGGUUGAAUCUACAGCAGCAGCUUGCUAUAUAGCAGAGAUCGAACCAGGGCCUCAUGUAUGACAAGCUAAGGAAAACCAAGGCUCACAACUUAUAAUCAGCACUCUCCAUUCCAGCAAAGUGCAUUUCUAAUCUCUGAAGAGUAGUUUUAUCAAUUUACAUAAACUAUGCCAUUCUCAGGUGACACAUACUUGUCAUCUAACACUUACUUUCCUGAAAGAAAAAAAUUAAGCAAAAUCAAUUUGCAGCAAAAUCAGCACUUUUAGAUUCAGCCUGCUGAUGAUUAUAAAGGAUAAAGGGGGACAUGGCUAGAAA